AAUAUAAUAAAGUUGCUUAAAUUUCACGUAUAACUAUUUAAUAAAAAAAUUAAUAAAAAGUUUACACGUAGACUGCACCCUCGGAAAAUUUUCAAGUGUUUGGAAAUAUCUAAAUGCUACUUCUUUACACAUAUUGUCAUUGCACAAAGAGUACAUCUAUCGAGAUCAAAGUUUACUUUUCACAAAUCGAUGAAGAUACACACGUGCCCGACGGGCAUACCUCGUUCGUCCUUCCUCGGAAAACGUGACCAUCAAUCGAUUCGAUCUCAAUUUCGGUUUUAUCGCUGGCGACAGACUGUCUCGCCAACACUAUGUCGAUGUCGGAGUGCUUCGGGUCAUCCCCGUAAUCCUUCAAGAUCUCGAGGCUUUCCGAAGGUCGCUUUUCGCGAAGCGCUUUCCCGCAAACAUCCUCGUCAGUGCUUCUCGCCUCCUCCUGAUACGUGCUUGAUUGAAUACGAGUCGAUCGCUCAAUAAAGUCGAAACGUCGACAAAAGGAAAUUAUCUGUCUAACUACAUUACAUUUAAUGUAGUUUCGACAAAGCUAAUUAUAUGGUUCUUCGCCAUGCAAUCCAAUUAAAUUUGAUAGUUAACAUUCUCAUUAAAUAAAUAAUUUUGAAUGUAACUUAAAUUUAUAUUUGACAAAAUUUUAUGUUGCGUGUCAAUUUCUAAUACUGUCAAAACUUUAAGAUUUGGCGAUGCUGAUGUUAUUGAAAAAAUACGAAAUUUUCAAAAAUGUAAACUAUUAUCAAAAGCAUAUGAAUACUAAAAGAGCUAAUAUCUUAUUAAACAACAUACAUAUAUUCUGAAUACAGAUAUGUUUAAUAUUCGCGAUUUGAUUUAACGCGUUUCAUUUAAUGUAUUUUACACAACAUGGAUUAUAAUCUUCUUAUAUGACUUAUAUUAUCGCAGUGCCGCGUAAAGUCCACGAUCACGAUGCAUUAAUUCAGAAAUUUCCAAGUCACUUCCGUAGAAAGUUGCACAAAGUUGUUAAUAUUUUCCGUAAUCUUCAUGUGAACCGGUUAAUUUUGCGCUUGCUCCGAAAAGCGGGUCCGAAACGCAAAUGCGUAUAUGAAAUAUGCAGUACUGCUUGUAAUGAGAAGUAGUUAGCAGUCCAGAGUGGAUAUUGUAUGGCGAAAGCAGCUUACUCCGCGCAUACGCAAGCUUAUUGGCAAAAUUUUACUCCGAAAAUUUAUUAAAUUUUACUCAUCACGCGCGCGUUAUUACAUGCCUGUAAUUUCCCAACUGUAACUUCCAUAUCACGAUUCCAACAUAUAUUGCGAUCUAUUUAUUUUAGCAUAAUACUAAAUGUAUGUAUCAAUUUAAUAUUUAUACGUUAAAAUAGAGAAUUAUUAGCAUGUCAUAUUAAUGCCUUAAUUAAUCAGUUAUUUAAAUAUUGCUAAAUUAUAUUAUAAUUAAUAAAGGUGAAUUUGUGUCACAUAACGAUUAAAA